rnacentral:rRNA from 1 species
UACGUAGGGUGCGAGCGUUAAUCGGAAUUACUGGGCGUAAAGCGUGCGCAGGCGGUUUUGUAAGCCAGAUGUGAAAGCCCCGGGCUUAACCUGGGAAUGGCAUUUGGGACUGCAAGGCUUGAGUGCGGCAGAGGAGACUGGAAUUCCUGGUGUAGCAGUGAAAUGCGUAGAUAUCAGGAGGAAUACCGAUGGCGAAGGCGGCGACCUGGACAGGCACUGACACUCAACUACGAAAGCGUGGGGAGCAAACAGG